rnacentral:rRNA from 1 species
UACGUAGGUGGCAAGCGUUGUCCGGAAUUAUUGGGCGUAAAGCGCGCGCAGGCGGUCCUUUAAGUCUGAUGUGAAAGCCCACGGCUCAACCGUGGAGGGUCAUUGGAAACUGGGGGACUUGAGUGCAGGAGAGAAGAGUGGAAUUCCACGUGUAGCGGUGAAAUGCGUAGAGAUGUGGAGGAACACCAGUGGCGAAGGCGACUCUUUGGCCUGUAACUGACGCUGAGGCGCGAAGCGUGGGAGCAACAGG